rfam:Triticum aestivum genome assembly, contig: Triticum_aestivum_CS42_TGACv1_scaffold_641649_T_4AS-0.256386_4AL-0.178071
CAUCUACUCCCUCUGUUCCGAAUUACUUGUCUUGGAUUUGUCUACAUACGGAUGUAUCUAGACUCAUUUUAGUGCUAGAUACCUCCGUAUCUAGACAAAUCCAAGACAAGUAAUUCUGAAUGGAGGGAGUAACUA